GGAGAGGUGGCUGAGUGGCCGAAAGCGGCGGUUUGCUAAACCGUUGCCCGCCGAAUCGGCGGGCCGUGGGUUCGAAUCCCACCCUCUCCG
rnacentral:tRNA from 4 species